rnacentral:rRNA from 1 species
GACGAACGCUGGCGGCGUGCUUAACACAUGCAAGUCGAACGAUGACGACCGAGCUUGCUCGGUCUGAUUAGUGGCGAACGGGUGAGUAACACGUGAGCAACCUGCCCUUCACUCUGGGAUAACCCCGGGAAAUCGGGGCUAAUACCGGAUAUGAGCUCCUGUCGCAUGGCGGGUGUUGGAAAGUUUUUCGGUGAAGGAUGGGCUCGCGGCCUAUCAGUUUGUUGGUGAGGUAGUGGCUCACCAAGGCGCUGCCGGGUAGCCGGCCUGAGAGGGCGACCGGCCACACUGGGACUGAGACACGGCCCAGACUCCUACGGGAGGCAGCAGUGGGGAAUAUUGCACAAUGGGCGAAAGCCUGAUGCAGAGACGCCGCGUGAGGGAUGACGGCCUUCGGGUUGUAAACCUCUUUCAGCAGGGAAGAAGCGAAAGUGACGGUACCUGCAGAAGAAGCGCCGGCUAACUACGUG